UGGGGAAUUUUGGACAAUGGGCGCAAGCCUGAUCCAGCCAUGCCGCGUGCAGGAUGAAGGCCUUCGGGUUGUAAACUGCUUUUGUACGGAACGGAAAGCCUCUUUCUAAUAAAGAGGGGUGAUGACGGUACCGUAAGAAUAAGCACCGGCUAACUACGUGCCAGCAGCCGCGGUAAUACGUAGGGUGCGAGCGUUAAUCGGAAUUACUGGGCGUAAAGCGUGCGCAGGCGGUCUUGCAAGACAGUGGUGAAAUCCCCGGGCUCAACCUGGGGACGGCGAUGGUGACUGCAAAGCUGGAGUACGGGAGGGGUAGAGGGAAUUCCGCGUUUAUCAUUGAAAUGCGUAGAGAUGCUGUGGAACACCAAUGGCGAAGGCAUGCCGCUGGGCCUGUACUGACGCUCUUGGACGAAAGCU
rnacentral:rRNA from 1 species